GACCCUACGGGACGCAGCAGUGAGGAAUAUUGGUCAAUGGCCGAGAGGCUGAACCAGCCAAGUCGCGUGAGGGAUGACGGCCCUACGGGUUGUAAACCUCUUUUGUCGGGGAGCAAGACCCGCCACGAGUGGCGGAGCGAGAGUACCCGAAGAAAAAGCAUCGGCUAACUCCGUGCCAGCAGCCGCGGUAAUACGGAGGAUCCGAGCGUUAUCCGGAUUUAUUGGGUUUAAAGGGAGCGUAGAUGGGUUGCUAAGUCAGUUGUGAAAGUUUGCGGCUCAACCGUAAAAUUGCAAUUGAUACUGGG
rnacentral:rRNA from 1 species